AUAAUAUUCCGCUUCCUCUGACGCAAGUUGUUUAGAAUUUAUUAUUUUCUUUUGAUUCAGGUUACUAAGUCCUCUGAUUUUGUAUCUAAUGUAGAAGAAAAUCGUACCAAGAUACAUGUAAAGCUAAUAUUUACCGAUGCUGGAAGCAUUUAGAAUCGCCUUGGAGUUGAGAGCCUGAUCGAAUUGUACUUUGGUGGAGGAUGGGAAUAAUGAUCUGCCAAUAUGUGAUAGUAAUCCCAGCUCGACCAACUUCCAAACACGUCUCACUUCCCUAUUAAUGCGACAGAGUGAUAGACUGAAAUCGAAUCACCGACAUCUUCGAACCUGCCUUAAAGAUUCUGUACUUAUAUGCAGAGAGGAUAAGCACUACAUCUUCCUUCAUCAACAGAAUCUUCCCUGUAGUUUGUCCGCCAAACAAAGACAGCACGAGCUGAAAUGAGUGAACUGUUGACUAGCUUGUUGUCAAAGACGGAUACAUUAACUACCACCGUACUAGUGACUGUUCCAGGAAUGAAGCUAUUAGCUAGGCAGCUCAUGGCUUCCUCACAUACUGAACUGAACUCCCUAUCAGCUUUAAUUACUUCUGCGGCUUGAUUUCUUAAACAUACAGGAAAUGAUGAUUCUCGGUCAUGUAUAGAGCUGAAAGGAUUCUGGACUUCUCAAGGACAAGAUGAUCCUCACCUCCUCAGGUUAUACAAUUCUUCUAUUUACAUAAUUUGGCAUAUAUAGUGUAGAUGCUACUACAUUGAAACUUGAAGCAUUAAGAAUGGCAUUGGAGUUUAUGGGAUGCUAAUUUGAUACCGAGGUUGGAGUAGCUUAGUCAGGCAGCUGAGCAUCUUAUCUAAUUAUGUAUAUAUUGUAGAUGAGAAUCGCACCAGGCUACUUGUACUGCUCAUAUUGAAGCUUGAUGCAUUCAGAAUGGCAUCAGACUAUCAGAGUUUGAAAAUCUUUUGGUUAAUCACAUGGGCCGAUGAUGGAGC